rnacentral:rRNA from 1 species
AUUGAACGCUGGCGGCAGGCCUAACACAUGCAAGUCGAACGAGUGGCGGACGGGUGAGUAAUGUCUGGGAAACUGCCCGAUGGAGGGGGAUAACUACUGGAAACGGUAGCUAAUACCGCAUACCAUCGGAUGUGCCCAGAUGGGAUUAGCUUGUAGGUGAGGUAACGGCUCACCUAGGCGACGAUCCCUAGCUGGUCUGAGAGGAUGACCAGCAAUGCUGGAAAUGAGACACGGUCAAGACUCCUCAGGGAGGCAGAAGUGGGGAAUAUUGCACAAGGUGCGCAAGCCUGAUUCAGCCAUGCCGCGUGUAUGAAGAAGGCCUUCGGGUUGUAAAGUACUUUCAGCGGGGAGGCGUUACCCGCAGAAGAAGAACCGGCUAACUCCGUGCCAGCAGCCGCGGUAAUUC